AUUGAACGCUGGCGGCAUGCCUUACACAUGCAAGUCGAACGGUAACAGGUCUUCGGAUGCUGACGAGUGGCGAACGGGUGAGUAAUACAUCGGAACGUGCCUAGUAGUGGGGGAUAACUACUCGAAAGAGUGGCUAAUACCGCAUGAGAUCUACGGAUGAAAGCAGGGGAUCGCAAGACCUUGUGCUACUAGAGCGGCCGAUGGCAGAUUAGGUAGUUGGUGGGAUAAAAGCUUACCAAGCCGACGAUCUGUAGCUGGUCUGAGAGGACGAUCAGCCACACUGGGAGUGAGAGACGGCCCAGACUCCUACGGGAGGCAGCAGUGGGGAAUUUUGAACAAUGGGCGAAAGCCUGAUCCAGCAAUGCCGCGUGCAGGAUGAAGGCCUUCGGGUUGUAAACUGCUUUUGUACGGAACGAAAAGCCCCGGGUUAAUACCCUGGGGUCAUGACGGUACCGUAAGAAUAAGCACCGGCUAACUACGUGCCAGCAGCCGCAGUAA
rnacentral:rRNA from 1 species